UGCGGAAUUGUGUAAUGGUAGCACCUGCGACUCUGACUCGUAUUGUGAGGGUUCGAAUCCUUCUUCCGCAACCA
rnacentral:tRNA from 4 species